rnacentral:rRNA from 1 species
GAUGAACGCUGGCGGCGUGCCUAAUACAUGCAAGUCGAGCGAACGGACGAGAAGCUUGCUUUUCUGAUGUUAGCGGCGGACGGGUGAGUAACACGUGGAUAACCUACCUAUAAGACUGGGAUAACUUCGGGAAACCGGAGCUAAUACCGGAUAAUAUUUUGAACCGCAUGGUUCAAAAGUGAAAGACGGUCUUUCUGUCACUUAUAGAUGGAUCCGCGCUGCAUUAGCUAGUUGGUAAGGUAACGGCUUACCAAGGCAACGAUGCAUAGCCGACCUGAGAGGGGGAUCGGCCACACUGGAACUGGGACACGGUCCAGACUCCUACGGGAGGCAGCAGUAGGGAAUCUUCCGCAAUGGGCGAAAGCCUGACGGAGCAACGCCGCGUGAGUGAUGAAGGACUUCGGAUCGUAAAACUCUGUUAUUAGGGAAGAACAUAUGUGGAAGUAACUGUGCACAUCUUGACGGUACCUAAUCAGAAAGCAACGGCUAACUACGUG